rnacentral:siRNA from 1 species
UGUAGCAUUUUCGGGAGCUGCG